rnacentral:rRNA from 1 species
CCUACGGGAGGCAGCAGUGGGGAAUAUUGGACAAUGGGCGAAAGCCUGAUCCAGCCAUGCCGCGUGUGUGAAGAAGGCCUUCGGGUUGUAAAGCACUUUCAGUGGGGAAGAAAGCCUUGGGGCUAAUACCCUCGAGGAAGGACAUCACCCACAGAAGAAGCACCGGCUAACUCCGUGCCAGCAGCCGCGGUAAUACGGAGGGUGCGGGCGUUAAUCGGAAUUACUGGGCGUAAAGCGCGCGUAGGCGGUCUGAUAAGCCGGUUGUGAAAGCCCCGGGCUCAACCUGGGAACGGCAUCCGGAACUGGCAGGCUGGCGUGCAGGAGAGGGAGGUAGAAUUCCCGGUGUAGCGGUGAGAUGCGUAGAGAGCGGGAGGAAUAGCAGUGGCGAAGGCGGCCUUCUGGACUGACACUGACGCUGAGGUGCGAAAGCGUGGGUAGCAAACAGGAUUAGAUACCCUGGUAGUC